rnacentral:rRNA from 1 species
GACGAACGCUGGCGGCGUGCUUAACACAUGCAAGUCGAACGCUGAAGCCCUUCGGGGUGGAUGAGUGGCGAACGGGUGAGUAACACGUGGGUAAUCUGCCCUGCACUCUGGGAUAAGCCUUGGAAACGGGGUCUAAUACCGGAUAGGACACAUCGCCGCCUGGUGUGUGUGUGGAAAGUUCCGGCGGUGCGGGUUGAGCCCGCGGCCUAUCAGCUUGUUGGUGGGGUGAUGGCCUACCAAGGCGACGACGGGUAGCCGGCCUGGGAGGGUGACGGGCCACACUGGGACUGGGCCGCGGCCCAGACUCCAGCGGGAGGCAGCAGUGGUGAAUCUUGCGCAAGGGGCGAAGGCCUGACGCAGCAACGCCGCGUGGGGGAUGACGGCCUUCGGGUUGUAAACCUCUUUCGACCGGGACGAAGGAUUCGUUUGACGGUACCGGUAGAAGAAGCACCGGCUAACUACGUGCCAGCCGCCGCCGUAACAC